rnacentral:rRNA from 1 species
UUGGAGGGCAAGUCUGGUGCCCGCAGCCGCGGUAAUUCCAGCUCCAAUAGCGUAUAUUAAAGUUGUUGUGGUUAAAAAGCUCGUAGUAGAAGCUCGGGCUCCGGCCGACCGGUCCGCCUCACCGCGUGCACUGGUUCGGCUGGGUCUUUCCUUCUGGAGAACCUCAUGCCCUUCACUGGGUGUGCUGGGGAACCAGGACUUUUACUCUGAACAAAUUAGAUCGCUUAAAGAAGGCCUAUGCUCGAAUACAUUAGCAUGGAAUAAUAGAAUAGG